GGCGCUAUAGUGUAGUGGCAGCACAUGGGAUUCUGAUUAUUAGGUAAUUCCCAUAACCCAGGUUCGACCCCUGGUAGUGCCU